CCUCGUGGUUCAGAUGGUAAAGAAUCUGCCUGCAAAGCAGGAGACCUGGGUUUGAUCCCAGGAUGAGGA
rnacentral:tRNA from 1 species